ACUCUGGCUCCUCAACAAGCUACACAUUAAACCAGAGAGGGAGAGAGAGAGAACGUUCUCAUGCUCUAUGUUCCCCAGGUACCUUGCUGUUAUUGUUUUUAUGGCCCCAGCAUUGUAAAGGCAGAUAUUCCUGACCUUGGGAGUUGGACUUUGUCAUGUGACAUUCUCAAAACACUUGGUACUAUAGAAGUCAAACAGAACAGCAGGUUGCUGAUCAUCAUCUUCAAUACCUCAAAUAUCUUCCAGAAGGAUGAUGGACAAUCAAAGAUGCUGGCUGGACACCGGUCCCUAGGUCAAGUUCAGUCUCUGACCCCCACCCCUCACCUUUGACCCCUCACCUCGGAUGGAAGAACGCACCCAUUCCUUUAGGAGACUCCAUGAAAUGAUGACAUCCUUCCUAAAUAUUUGGUCAAAUAAUCCAUUUUUGUGUAUGGUUUCCUAGAAACAAGGAUGGCUCAAUGUACCCCUUUUUUUGCUCAACUUGCACCA